rnacentral:rRNA from 1 species
UACGUAGGGGGCUAGCGUUGUCCGGAAUCAUUGGGCGUAAAGCGCGUGUAGGCGGUCCGGUAAGUCCGCUGUGAAAGUCGGGGGCUCAACCCUCGGAUGCCGGUGGAUACUGUCGGGCUUGAGUUCGGAAGAGGCGAGUGGAAUUCCCGGUGUAGCGGUGAAAUGCGCAGAUAUCGGGAGGAACACCUAUGGCGAAGGCAGCUCGCUGGGACGUUACUGACGCUGAGACGCGAAAGCGUGGGGAGCAAACAGG